AUUUUAGGUACUGAUUUUAUUCUCUUGCCCUAAGUCCUGGGGCUGACCUCUGCUUCUAGAAUGUUGUAGAAGCAACAAACACAUUGUCGUUAUUUGUUUGUUUAUGUUGUAGAAGCAGACUGAAGUGUUAGAAAGAAACUACUCUGCAGCUGACAGCACUAAAAGAAGUGAUUGCAUCCUCAGCUAAUUCACAGCAUGUACAUUUGUAUAAGCAAGAAUUCCUAGACAUUACAUUUGUCUGCGAGAUGGAGUACUCAGACAUCUCUGGAAUGGAACAUCUCCACAGCCACUCCUCCAAUCGCAGUAGCACACAGCAGGCUGCAGCCAGAUGAUAGAUCCUGAGAUAAAGAAUAGAACAAGAGGUAAACUUUGUG
ensembl:lncRNA